GAGCCCUUUAUAUAUUUCGACACCCAUCUCUUCCCCACUAUGCUCAAAGCCCUCUAUAAAUAGAAGUUAGUGCUAUUAGGUGUGGUUAGGAUGAUCUCCUCGAGCAUUCUCCAUCGAUGAAGAUGCGAUAGAAGAUGCUCCCAUCGUGGUGAUACUUCUGCUCGAUGGAGGAGUGCUCUCCCAACCCUCUGGAUGGAUGCUGGGAGCUCAAGAGGGGUGUGUUGUCACACACCCGCCUUGGAAUGGGAGGUGUUUAGAAAGUCUCUACCAAUGGAUGGCAGGAAGAGGAGAGUAGGAGAGACGGGGUAGAAGUAUACCAACUAUGAGAACAA
rnacentral:lncRNA from 1 species